UAACUAGAUAACUAGAUAACUAGAUAACUAGAUAACUAGAUAACUAAUAACUAGAUAACUAGAUAACUAGAUAACUAGAUAACUAGAUAACUAGAUAACUAGAUAAGGAACUCGUUUUCUUUGUUUGGUUUGUUGGUUUGUUAUGGAGACUUCCUUUAUUAGAUGUAUUUAUUUAUUUCAUAUUUAUUUUCCCAAUGGUGAAUACGCUGUGUAUAAGUUGAUAAGGUGUGGAUCAUGACUGUCUCGUUUAGAAGCAGUCCUCUGAUAUGAAGAUGUCUGUGUCACGAAUGGCAUCCUAUUCCCUAUGCAGAACCCAUAGGGGCCCUGGUCUUAAGUAGUUCACUACAUAGGGAAUAGGGUCCUGGUCUUAAGUAGUUCACUACCUAGGGAAUAGGGCCCUGGUUCACUAUAUAGGGAAUAGGGCUCUGGUCACUAGUAGUUCACUAUAUAGGGAAUAGGGCUCUGGUCACUAGUAGUUCACUAUAUAGGGAAUAGGGCUCUGGUCACUAGUAGUUCACUAUAUAGGGAAUAGGGCUCUGGUCACUAGUAGUUCACUAUAUAGGGAAUAGGGCUCUUGUCACUAGUAGUUCACUAUAUAGGGAAUAGGGCUCUGGUCACUAGUAGUUCACUAUAUAGGGAAUAGGGCUCUGGUCACUAGUAGUUCACUACAUAGGGAAUAGGGCUCUGGUCACUAGUAGUUCACUACAUAGGAAUUAGGGCUCUGGUCUUAAGUAGUUCACUACAUAGAGAAUAGGGAGCCAUUUGUGCAGCAGACCCGAGGUUGGUACGAGAGCUUCUCGGAUGGUUCUUUGUUUGAUUUAUCAAUGUGAUUAUUGAUUACUUAUCGGCCCUUGAGAGUGUGGGACCGGGUGUUAGUGGUUGUGUGUGUGUGUGUGUGUGUGUGUGUGUGUGUGUGUGUGUGUGUGUGUGUGUGUGUGUGUGUGUGUGUGUGUGUGUGUGUGUGUGUGUGUGUGUGUGUGUGUGUGUGUGUGAAUGUGACGACAUGAGCAGAGAAAAAUGAACUUUAUUUCACAACAACCACGUUGCCCUCCUCGCUGUCAGAAGGGGGCACACCUCCACGCUUUGGGCACAAGGACACAGGAAAUGGUAUGUUUAGCCAAUGGGAAAGGCCCAUCUAGGCACAAUACAGUAUUUGUAGCCAAUCAGACAGCCCCAUGCAGGCUGGGUUCUGUAUGUCUAGCCAAUGGGAAAGGCCCGUGUAGAAAGUAUAUGAGGGCAGGUACGGGACAGAGACACACCUGACCUAGAGGUGUGGUCGAGCAGGUUGACAGUAUGUGUACACAGUAUCACUCACCGCUCAGAGCGUUUAGCUACUGUAUGUAUCUACCACAUGUCAUGUAUGUACUUCACUGAUGUCACUGGUUACUGUGAGAGUGACGUUUAAAAAUGAUUUAAAAAAACAAAAACUAAAAAGUGAUACAAAUGCAAAACUAGUGGAAGUUCACUGUGACUGGGUCGGUCCGGCUUUUAAUUUAACCAAUCAGCAUUCUGUUUCCGCGGUGACGGCAUUUAUAUACAUAUGUGAUAUUAUACAUAUAUAAAUAUUUACGAGGGCAUGUAUUAGUUUUAUUCAAAUGGUAUAAUAAUCAAAUGCUGCAGUGUGUUUAUGGCUGAUAGAGAAUUAAAAUGUACAAGUCA
ensembl:lncRNA